GCUGAGAUGUCAAUAAUUU
rnacentral:miRNA from 1 species